CCACCAUGCCUGGCCCAUAAUUUUUAAUCUUGUAGCUAAUUUGUUAGUCUCAUAAAGGUGGUCUGGUCCCCAAGCAAGAAGGAGGUUUGUUUCAGGGACGGGCUGUUAUAUUUGGUUUAAAGUGAAAUUAUAAACUAAAUUUCUCCACAAAUUUGUUUGGCCUAUGCCUGGGAAUAAACAAGGGCAGAUUGGAGGUUAGAAGAUGGAGUUGGAUCAGGUCAGGUUUUUUUUCACUGUCGUAAUUUUCCUAUGUCAUAUUUUUCUUAUUGUCAUAAUUUUUGCAAAGACAACACCCAUCAUUACUUACUUGCUGACUUGUUUAUUGGUGAAUUCUUUUUUCCACUACUGAAAUGAAGCUCCAUGAGAACAAAUAAGUUGGUCUGUCCUGCUCCCUGCUGCGUGCCCGGCACUCUGUCUGGAACAUGGUAGGUGCCUGUAGCAUACACUGGCAGUGCUAAUGUCCCUUGCCUGCCUCUGCCGUCAGCUCUCUGGUUGUUGUGGAAAGUUCCCCUAAAUGCUGCCACCUCAAGCAUCUUGUUGCUGUCCUCUUUAAGGCUUAUCUUACGACUUUCUCCGGAAGCCUUGGGAGCAGGCACAGCCUGGAAUUCAGGGAAAUUUAACAUCCCCGGGGUAACUGCAGGGCAGUUUGGCUGGCCUUGGACAGACCCAGUCCCUCUUUUUCCAUGUAGUUCUCAGGAAUAGCUGUAGAAUGUGCUGGGAUUGCAACAUCGUGCGAUAAGGGAGAGCUGGCCGAACAGCCCAAGGUCAGUUCCAGUCUCCUGCUGAAAAUAGGAUGUCCUUCAACACAGCCCAGCAAAUCACAUUACCCUGGGAUGUUAAACCCAGGGCAGGCUGCUCUCUGGCAUCCCUCAUCUGUGGUGAAAGUGGGGCUUGCUCAGUUGAGACUCCAUUUGCCCUGAGCAGAUUUCCUGAGCCUUGGGCGACCAGCUUGCAAUGAAUGCUCCUCUUGUCCCUUGCUGCCUGUCUCUUCCCGAUGGAUGAUCCAACAGACGUCACCUUGCACUGUAGUGACAGUCUUGUUGGGACCACAUGAAGUGCAGCCGUAACACAGGAUUCAAGGAGAUUCAAAACCCAUGUCACUGCUGCCAUCUUCCUAGAAUCCUCUUAAAUCCUCAUGGAUUUGCUGACAUUGGGAGCAUCCUGAAAGCAUCCCCAUGCUAAGGUGGCUGCAGUAACAGGUACAAUGAGAAAUGAUGGUGAGUCCCAUAAGCGCCCUCAAUUCGACUUCCUCCCAGUACAACCUGACAGCAAAGAUGUGCAGGAGGGAAGUUAGAAUGGUCUCAAAUAACUGUGGUUAUAGUUUACUCUUGCAAAUUUCACAAAAACAUGUAACCACAUGAACACAUCCCAAGACCUUGGAAAGGGCAGCUGUCCACCAUUUUGAUAAAGAUUAAGUAGAUCAGGGUACAUCCAUAAGAUGUAAUGGUAUGCAGCCAUGGAAAAUAAUCUUUCUGAAUUUAAAAAUAAUCUUUUCAUAAUAAUGAAUGUGCAUUAUAGAAAAUUAGAAAAUAUAGGCAAUAAAGCGUAAAGAAAAUAAGAAAAUAACACCCAGAGGUUAUCACUAACACCUUAGCAUAUAUCCUUCCACAUUUUGACAUACUUUCACGAUGUUGCAUGCAAAGUGAAAAAAAAAAUCAGUACAAGUCGCAUCUACCAUGUGAUAUUGGGUUGUAAAAUUAUGUAUGUUUUGAAAAGUAUUAAAAUACAAUAGACCAAAAAUGUUAACAGGGCUUAUUUGUGGAUCAUAGGCUUAGUGGUGAUUGUUAUUUUCUUAUUUCCUAUAUUUUCCACAACAGGAAUGCAGACUUUUAUGAUCAUUAAAAAUGAAUUAUUUGAAAAAGUAAUUAUGGUGAUUUCAGAAGUGAGGUUUGGUUGUCAGUGUGUGUGAAAUCGGAUGAGCAGCUUAUUUUGUGUCUGCUGAUUAUGUGUCUGUAUUAUGUUGUUUCAGGUUCUCCCCCCUCCAAAAAAAAUCAAAUCAGAUUGUGAAUUUAUUCCCUGACAUUAACACGUGGCAUUACAGGAGCAUGCACAUCACAUGGUCAAUUUAUUGGCAUGAGGAUUAUAUCAUCGGGGAAUAAAUGGGAAAUUCUCAAGAUCCAGUGAGGUAACUGCUAUUUCACAAGUUCAGAUGCUGUAUCCCUUGCUGACCAUUUCUUGCUUUUAUCUAUUUGGGCGUCAACUUGGUCCUCUGGUCUCUCCCUGUAGAUGCCUCCCUUUUUUGAAGCCAUUAUCCACAUGGCCUGAAAAACACAGUAAGUAACAUGACACGGUUAGCUACCUGAGCCAUUGUUACAGAGACCCACAUAUAGAGUUUUCUAACGACUUUCUUCUUCUCAGGUCUGUGUUUUCAGUUUUUCUAAAAUGGAGGGUUUAGGUAUCUCUAAUGACUUGUACUCCAUUUCAUGAUGUUUAUCAGGCAUCUGUUAUGUGCCAGACACUGUGCACUUACACUGACAACAUUAUUAUUAUUUUUUUAAAAGCACAUUUACCAUCUCUAUUUCACGGAGAGGGAAACUGAAGCUCAGAAAGGCUGAGUGGUUUGCUCAUGGAACAAACAGCGUGCAAGCAGCAUAUGCCCACAAUCGCCAGGGUCUCAGCCACUCCACUGGCAUGCAUGGAGGCUCUUCCUGUUUCCAUGCACCUGGCUGGAGGCCUCUCAGGGUACAAAGGACCUCAAAGGAAGGUGCCUGGCUCAGCGGGGAUGUGGGGGCUUCCUGGAGGAGGGGACUCUUGGCCAAGGCUGCAACCAUGCACAGGAGUCGGGAAGGAAGGAAAGAGG